UGGAAGGAAACCAAGCUUGGUUUAGAGCUAGA
rnacentral:piRNA from 1 species